UUACCUGGGGUGUUCGAUAUUCUUACCAAUUUUGAACCUACAUUAGACAAAAGGGAUUCCAAUAUUUUUAGACGGAUGUCAGGCCUCCUGUUUGAGUGGAAGGCAGAAGCCUAAGUGAGGUUGCCCACCUAGCAUUGCUAGGCGUCAAUAAGUAAGAGACGGCAUCUUGGGGUU
rnacentral:other from 1 species